rnacentral:rRNA from 1 species
CAGCGACUUAUAUUCUGUAGCAAGGUUAACCGAAUAGGGGAGCCGGAGGGAAACCGAGUCUUAAUUGGGCGUUAAGUUGCAGGGUAUAGACCCGAAACCCGGUGAUCUAGCCAUGGGCAGGUUGAAGGUUGGGUAACACUAACUGGAGGACCGAACCGACUAAUGUUGAAAAAUUAGCGGAUGACCUGUGGCUGGGGGUGAAAGGCCAAUCAAACCGGGAGAUAGCUGGUUCUCCCCGAAAGCUAUUUAGGUAGCGCCUCGUGAAUUCAUCUCCGGGGGUAGAGCACUGUUUCGGCUAGGGGGCCAUCCCGGCUUACCAACCCGAUGCAAACUGCGAAUACCGGAGAAUGUUAUCACGGGAGACACACGGCGGGUGCUAACGUCCGUCGUGAAGAGGGAAACAACCCAGACCGCCAGCUAAGGUCCCAAAGUCAUGGUUAAGUGGGAAACGAUGUGGGAAGGCCCAGACAGCCAGGAUGUUGGCUUAGAAGCAGCCAUCAUUUAAAGAAAGCGUAAUAGCUCACUGGUCGAGUCGGCCUGCGCG